rnacentral:lncRNA from 1 species
UAAUAUGUUAUUAUGGUAGAAAAACAUCAUACAAAGGUAGUGGAACCACAUUUCCCAUUUUAACACCAACAUGAAAGUUAUAACUUUUUUUAAAACCAUUUAUGAAGCAAUAAACAAGUUAAAACAAUAACUCAGUCAUACAUGCACCAAUCAAUAUGAAAUUUUUACCACAGCUCAAGAGUAUCAUUUAUAGCCUACCAUAAAAAUUUCACAGCAAUUGGAGAACCACAACUUUAGAUAUGAAAUAGACAAGCAAACACGCUAAAAAUUGCCUAUUUAUCAAAAUAAAAACAUGAUAAAAACAGUACACAACUAGCAUGUUCAAUAUUUUUCUUAGCUAGAGAGUGUCAUCACAAGACUAACACAACUGGAAUCACAACUUUUGGACUUCUAUAACUCAAGAUAUGCAUCUAACCAACUUAAAGGAUUUCUAAAAGCACUUUGCAAGGAUAAAUAAAAACAUCAGAAACUUUCUACUAACACAUAUCAUAUUAUAACUCUAAUGUGUAAUUAUUCUCACAAGGAUUCCAAAAUAUCUUCAUUUGCUAUUUUACGAUUUUUCUACAAUUUACUAUGAAUUGUUUAAAGUUUCAGCCUUUUUAGAUCUAGAAAAUAAACAAAACCGAGAUGAUCUUACGAUCUACCCCCUGGGUCUACGGUUUAAUUGCGCAAACGUCCCUGAAACUUCCCCAUAACCCCCUACCUUUCCU